rnacentral:lncRNA from 1 species
GCUUCAAACAUGGGGCAUCAUGAAGCUUAUGCUUUGAUUUACUUUUCAACAAGUGUUUUUUUCUUAGCAAAACAGAAAAUAUCUAUUCUUUUGAUAUAGAAUCCUUCAGUUUUCAGUCUUACCUGAUGUUUUGACUGAACCUCCAACAGAUUUAUAUGAAUCUACUGACUCCCAUAGCUUCAAAGGGCAUACAAAUGUUUAUGGUUUGAAAACGGAUUGUAAGGAAUAAUACUUCUGGGAGGUCUUUAGGUUUUCCUCUCGUGUUGGUUGAUUGGUUUGCUUGUUUUUAUUUUUGCCUCUUGCGUAGGCUAGGGACAGGGGAUUUCAUCUCAAUUUUUUCCAGAGUGUGAAAUGAAAAUGUGUCCAGUCUCUCUGUUUAGAAUUGGCAGGAAAGCAGGUAACUGCCUGGAUGAAUUUAACGGUAGAAUUAAUUUUUACAUUUACCUCCUUUAACUGCAGUUAAAGUUUGAACUUCAUUACUGGCCUGUUUGAAAAGCACCUUUGAUAGAUUCUUCCUAAUUGUGAAAAUACCUUCCUAAGUGAAAAUACCUCAGUGUACAAGGAAGAAGGUGUAUGGCCUGGUUGAUUGCAACACUGAAGUAUUCCUAAUCUACAAUAAAUCUCUGCUUAAGAUAAUAGAUCAGAUCCUAGAAGAAGAAUAUUCUGUUUAUUUUGUACCAACUUUAAUCUGGCCAAGUCAAAUUACUUGAGAACACUUCUUUCUAUUCUGAGAUAUAUGUAGGAAACGGUGCAGACCAUGUAUUUUAUUGAUUGACACAUGGAUGUGGCUAAAAUGGUACAAGUCUAUUUUACUGUCAACAAAAAAAUGCAGUGUGCUUCUUUCAGUAAGAAAAAGUCAUAAUAAAUUAUGAUAGUGAAUGAUGACUAAGCAAUUUGACUGUGUGAGUUGUUACACUGUAUAGACCCUAAGAACAUUUCAUGAACAUUAGAACUUGAUGUUCUUCCAUUUAUAUCAAUCUGUAGGGCAUUAGUGUACACUGCAGACCUUACCUUGAUUUCAGUUUAUUUAUUGAUGAAUCUGUACAGAUCAACAUCACUUUCUAGGUCAACUCAGAUAAAACCAGUAAUAAACUAUAAGUAGAAAAGCUUUUACUG